rnacentral:rRNA from 1 species
AGCAGUAGCCGCGGGAAUACGGAGGGUGCAAGCGUUAAUCGGAAUUACUGGGCGUAAAGCGCACGCAGGCGGUUUGUUAAGUCAGAUGUGAAAUCCCCGGGCUCAACCUGGGAACUGCAUUUGAAACUGGCAAGCUAGAGUCUCGUAGAGGGGGGUAGAAUUCCAGGUGUAGCGGUGAAAUGCGUAGAGAUCUGGAGGAAUACCGGUGGCGAAGGCGGCCCCCUGGACGAAGACUGACGCUCAGGUGCGAAAGCGUGGGGAGCAAACAGGAUUAGAUACCCCUGUAGUCCCUGUCUCUUAUAC